rnacentral:rRNA from 1 species
UACAGAGGUCUCAAGCGUUGUUCGGAAUCACUGGGCGUAAAGGGUGCGUAGGCGGCGGGGAAAGUCAGAUGUGAAAUCCGGAGACUCAACCUCCGAAUUGCAUCCGAUACUCCCUCGCUAGAGAGUUGUAGAGGAGCUUGGAAUUCUCGGUGUAGCAGUGAAAUGCGUAGAUAUCGAGAAGAACGCUCGCAGCGAAGGCGAAGCUCUGGGCAAUUUCUGACGCUGAUGCACGAAGGCUAGGGGAGCAAACGGG